rnacentral:rRNA from 1 species
GACGUAGGGCGCGAGCGUUGUCCGGAUUUAUUGGGCGUAAAGAGCUCGUAGGCGGUUUGUCGCGUCUGCUGUGAAAACCCGAGGCUCAACUUCGGGCUUGCAGUCGAUACGGGCAGACUAGAGUGCGGUAGGGGUGACUGGAAUUCCUGGUGUAGCGGUGGAAUGCGCAGAUAUCAGGAGGAACACCGAUGGCGAAAGGCAGGUCACUGGGCCGCAACUGACGCUGGAGGAGCGAAAGCAUGGGGAGCGAACAGGG